rnacentral:rRNA from 1 species
CCCUUAGAUGUUCUGGGCCGCACACGCGCUACACUGGCAGGUUCAUCGAGCUUCAUGCCCUGAUCUGAGAAGAACGGGAAAUCUUUGAACACCUGCCGUGCUUGGGAUAGAUGUUUGCAAUUAUUCAUCUUCAACGAGGAUUGCCUUGUAAGCGCACGUCAUCAGCGUGCAUUGAAUACGACCCUGUAUUCUGUACACACCGCCCGUCGUUCCUACCGAUUGAAGUUUUCGGUGAAUUUACUGGAGAUCCCUUUUGAAGGUGGUUCGCCACUGGAAGAAGUAUUCAAAAGUAAAUGAAUCGAAUGCUUUAGAGGAAGGAGAAGUCGUAACA